UACGGGGGGGGUAAGGCAGUUGUUCGGCAAUUACUGGGCGUAAAGAGCGCGCAGGCGGUCGUUCAAGUCGCGUGUGAAAGCCCCCGGCUCAACUGGGGAGGGUCACGCGAUACUGAUCGACUCGAAGGCAGGAGAGGGUAGUGGAAUUCCCGGUGUAGUGGUGAAAUGCGUAGAUAUCGGGAGGAACACCAGUGGCGAAGGCGGCUACCUGGCCCACUCUGACGCUGAGGCGCGAAAGCUAGGGGAGCAAACGGG
rnacentral:rRNA from 1 species